UACGGAGGGUGCAAGCGUUAAUCGGAAUUACUGGGCGUAAAGCGUGCGUAGGCGGUUCGUUAAGUCUGUUGUGAAAGCCCCGGGCUCAACCUGGGAAUGGCAAUGGAUACUGGCGAGCUAGAGUGUGUCAGAGGAUGGUGGAAUUCCCGGUGUAGCGGUGAAAUGCGUAGAUAUCGGGAGGAACAUCAGUGGCGAAGGCGGCUGCCUGGCCCAAUACUGACACUCAGGUGCGACAGCGUGGGGAGCAAACAGG
rnacentral:rRNA from 1 species